rnacentral:rRNA from 1 species
AGGGGGUUAGCGUUGUUCGGAAUUACUGGGCGUAAAGCGCGCGUAGGCGGAUUAGUCAGUCAGAGGUGAAAUCCAGGGCUCAACCUGGAACUGCCUUUGAUACUGCUAGUCUUGAGUUCGAGAGAGGUGAGUGGAAUUCCGAGUGUAGAGGUGAAAUUCGUAGAUAUUCGGAGGAACACCAGUGGCGAAGGCGGCUCACU